GUUAAUUUUAAAUUUAGAAAUAAUUUACCUCUUAUAAAAAUUCUCUUAUAAAAAUUAAAGAUAAGAUUAAUAUCUAGGGCGUCUCGGAGGGCUUUUAGUGAUAUCUUUACUAAAAAUUAAAAUGGCAGUUAUCAAUUUUUUUAGAAUAAACAUAACUUACUUAAAAAUAUUAAUAUGAAGAAAAUCCUUUGAACCGCUCUGGAUAAUAUUCUUACCUUUAAAUUGUAUAAGAUGUAAAUUCACUUGAAUUUUAGAAAUUACAAUGUAAAAUGUGUUAUUGUGAACGAAAAUUUACAGCUUUGUAUGUUUGUAAGUUGGAGGCAACAAAUGCCCAAAGCAAACUUCCUUCCAUUUUACUCUAUCAUGAACUCCUUCAUUAAAGUAGUAUACCCCUGGUUGUAUUUUGUCUUAUUACCUUGAAACAAACAUAUCUUAUCAGAAAUGUUUUUUUUUUUUUGUUUAAACUUAAUUAAAAUCCACAAUUAAAACUUCAACGGGAACAAUACAGAUUAUACAUAUUUUUGCAUUAGAUUCUUAGCUGAGCGAUGUAUAUAUUGGUUUUACUGUGAUAUGGUUUUUCUCAUAGUCGUUAAUGAUAUUGUUUUUCUCAAGGUUUGUUAAUGAUAGAAAAUUGAGUUAAAUAUAUUUUUUUUAAAAACCUACAAAAGUUGUACUCGUAGUAUUUUUUUGAAGUAUAUUAAGUUCAACCUUUGACACAGUUUUCCUUAAUUCUUUUAGAUUAAAGAUUGGUAAUUUUAGUAUUUCAUUAUAUUGAUUAUUGAUACAUACAUAAAUUAAAUUGAUUUUAUUUUAUAAAUUUAGAAUAUUAGGUGUUGCGUACCAGGAUGCAAAACUGUUAAUAUUAAUGUUACUAGUGAUGAAGAUAUCAGAUUAUUACGACCUAAAAGAGAAAAUUUAAUUAACUGGAGUUUAAUAUUACAAGUAAGGUUAACUUUGGACAGUUGCAUAUGUGAAAGGCAUUUCCGACGCGAAGAUCUUAGAUAUCCAAGAGUAUUUAUAGAUGGUCCAAUUAUAAUAAAACCAUCAUUAGUUCCUUCUGCAAUGCCAAUUCCAAUUGAUAAUGUUGAGGAGAAGUAUGGUUCAAAAAGACCCUCCUUUGAUGUCGGAUCAAACAAAAAAAAAAAAAAAAAUUCCAAUUAAUGCUACUCAAUCUUAUGCUAGAAAUAAUUUACAAGAUAAUACAGAUUAGUGUUCUCCAUCUAAUAAUUCCAUGUCAACUGAUGACUGUUCAACCAUAGAAUAAAAGCUAAUACACAACUCGAGUAAUACUUACUACUUAACUUUAAAUAUUUCUGGAAUUCUAAAUAUUAUGAAACCAAACCGUUAAUUUAAUUCAUUAUUUUUAUUGUAUUUACAUAUUUUUAAGUGUAUUUAUAAGUCAUUUGUAUUUUUGUAAAAAAAAACUAUCAUUGUAAUCUUUUAUGUUAAUUUUAAUAACACUACAUUUAGUGUUAUAACGAGGGUUCGAGAACUGCCAGGAAUAGUAAAUACAUUCCAAGUUAUUAUUCAUAUUCUAAUUAAAUUUAUUUCAAACUGGAAUGGUACAAUUCCUGCAAACAAAAAAUUAUGUAUAUGUUUGUUAGGUUAUAUAGAAAAAUGACAACUUUAUAGCAAACUAUUUAUACCACAUGAUGAACAAUGUAUAUUGUUAUGUUUUACACACAGUGGUGCUGAGUUCAGUUAAAAAUAGUGGUUCUUCGAAAACUAGAAGGUCUAUUUUCAUUGGAUUUUCGUAUAUAAAGUGUUGCCAUUCGUCACAUUAUAUCAUACUAUAGUAAUAGUAGCAAAUUAGUACAAAUUAGUAUUUUUUUCUAUAUAGAUAUUUAAAACUACUUAUAAUGUAAUUGAUUGAUAUAAUAAUUUUGAUAUUUCACCAUUAUAUGUUUAACCUACGUUUGUUAUUAUCCGAAGUUAAUA